rnacentral:rRNA from 1 species
AGUGAACGCUGGCGGUAGGCCUAACACAUGCAAGUCGAACGGCAGCACAGUAAGAGCUUGCUCUUACGGGUGGCGAGUGGCGGACGGGUGAGGAAUACAUCGGAAUCUACUUUUUCGUGGGGGAUAACGUAGGGAAACUUACGCUAAUACCGCAUACGACCUACGGGUGAAAGCAGGGGAUCUUCGGACCUUGCGCGAUUGAAUGAGCCGAUGUCGGAUUAGCUAGUUGGCGGGGUAAAGGCCCACCAAGGCGACGAUCCGUAGCUGGUCUGAGAGGAUGGUCAGCCACACUGGAACGGGGACACGGUCCAGACUCCUACGGGAGGCAGCAGUGGGGAAUAUUGGACAAUGGGCGCAAGCCUGAUCCAGCCAUACCGCGUGGGUGAAGAAGGCCUUCGGGUUGUAAAGCCCUUUUGUUGGGAAAGAAAAGCAGCAGGUUAAUACCCCGCUGUUCUGACGGUACCCAAAGAAUAAGCACCGGCUAACUUCGUG